AUUGAACGCUGGCGGCAGGCCUAACACAUGCAAGUCGAGCGAGCGGCGGACGGGUGAGUAAUGUCUGGGAAACUGCCCGCUGGAGGGGGAUAUCUACUGGAAACGGUAGAUAAUACCGCAUACCAUCAGAUCUGCCCAGAUGGGAUUAGCUAGUGGGUGGGGUAAUGGCUCACCUAGGCGACGAUCCCUAGCUGGUCUGAGAGGAUGACCAGCCACACUGGAACUGAGACACGGUCCAGACUCCUACGGGAGGCAGCAGUGGGGAAUAUUGCACAAUGGGCGCAAGCCUGAUGCAGCCAUGCCGCGUGUAUGAAGAAGGCCUUCGGGUUGUAAAGUACUUUCAGCGAGGAGGCGUUACUCGCAGAAGAAGCACCGGCUAACUCCGUGCCAGCAGCCGCGGUAAUUC
rnacentral:rRNA from 1 species